GCGGUCGUAGUCUAGCCUGGUUAGGACCCCGGCUUCCCAAGCCGGGUACUCGGGUUCAAAUCCCGGCGACCGCACCA
rnacentral:tRNA from 2 species